UACGUACGAGGCAAGCGUUAUCCGGAAUUACUGGGCGUAAAGCGUGCGCAGGCGGUUCGUUGUGUCGGCGGUGAAAGCCCCGGGCUUAACCUGGGAAUGGCCGUUGAAACUGGCGAACUGGAGUGUGGCAGAGGGGGGUGGAAUUCCGCGUGUAGCAGUGAAAUGCGUAGAGAUGCGGAGGAACACCGAUGGCGAAGGUAGCCCCCUGGGCUAACACUGACGCUCAGGCACGAAAGCGUGGGGAGCAAACAGG
rnacentral:rRNA from 1 species